rnacentral:rRNA from 1 species
CUAAUACCGGAUAGGACGAAAGUUUAAAGGUGCUCCUGGCACCGCUGAUGGAUGAGCCUGCGGCGCAUUAGCUAGUUGGUAGGGUAAAGGCCUACCAAGGCGACGAUGCGUAGCCGACCUGAGAGGGUGAACGGCCACACUGGGACGGAGACACGGCCCAGACUCCUACGGGAGGCAGCAGUAGGGAAUCUUGGGCAAUGGGCGAAAGCCUGACCGAGCAAAGCCGCGUGAAUGGUGAGGGCCUUCGGGUUGUAA